UAAUUACAGAAACAAAAUUAUUCGCCAGAGUACUACCGGCAACAGCCCGAAACUCAAAGGACUUGGCGGUGCUUUAUACCCUUCUAGAGGAGCCUGUUCUAUAAUCGAUAAACCCCGAUCAACCUCACCAAUCCUUGCUAAUACAGUCUAUAUACCGCCAUCUUCAGCAAACCCUAAAAAGGAACAAAAGUAAGCUCAAUCACAACACAUAAAGACGUUAGGUCAAGGUGUAACCCAUGGAAUGGGAAGAAAUGGGCUACAUUUUCUACCUUAAGAAAAUUAAUACGAAAGCCAUUAUGAAAUUAAUGACCAAAGGAGGAUUUAGUAGUAAACUAAGAAUAGAGUGCUUAGUUGAAUUAGGCCAUGAAGCACGCACACCCCGCCCGCC
rnacentral:rRNA from 1 species